ACCUGCUCAUCUUCUCAACGAGUCUAUGACGCGUGGGUUCAGCAAUAUGCGGGGCCCAACGGUCAGAGGCAGCUACGGGUGUUAAUUCGCGUCGCCUUUGAGUCUACAGCGGCUGAACGGUGAAACCCUAGAUCGGGGACACACCCAAUCCACUCCCCCCAAUCCCCGCUCCUCCUCUCCUCCCCAACCCACGUCUCUUCUCCUCCCCAAUCGCCGGCCGACCUCUCUCUCCCGCUGCAGCCACGCGUGAGGCCGGAAAGGCCACUCCCCAGGCGCUGGAGAAGCGUGAGAGGGCACUCUCCCAGCCGCAGAAGGCGUUGGAUUGGAUGGAGGCGACUGGAGGCGCCGGGCGCGGCCGGGGAUAGGCCGGCGCAGGGUGGAUCCGCUCCGGCGACGACCGGAGGCGACGGGCUCGCGCGGGGCGGAUCCACGGCGGUGGCGACUGCAGGCGCGGCUCGUCUACGUCGCGGCCUCAUCCUCUCCUCUUCGGAUGUCGGCGCGGGGAGGCGGCCGUACCGGCGUUCUGGCGAGGAAGGAGCGCUAAGGUGCUCCCCGACCGAGUGAGCUCCCGUAACCAGCAAUGGCUCCCUCCACCGGAUCCCUACCCCCGCUCCGCCGUUCCGCCCCUGAGCGCGACGCCGCGGCUAACCCUAGCCAUGGGGUUCGGCAGGGUCGCCGCCGCAAUUACCGCGCCGCCGCCGCUCAUCCAUGUGCUCACCCCGGUCCUGGCUGUGCCCACACAACCUCCAGUGGGGAACUACCUCCCGAUCGACCAAGUGCGCCCCGAAAUCGCAGAGGCUUACGUCCAGGAAGUGUGGGUCAAGGCGCAGAAAAUGCUUGCCGGCUGCAAGGAAACCUGUGACGAAAACAAAGUUGAUGCUCAAGUUGUGCUUGUUAACGGGAACGAUGUCGCGGAUACCAUUUCCAGUCUUGUUGCUCAGCACCAGAUACAGAUCCUCGUCGUCGGUGCCAGCAGGGGCUUCUUCAGCAGGACGUCCUCCAAGAUCUGCAAGGGUGUCCCCAGCUUAUUGAACUCCAAUUAUUGAACUCUGAUUUUCAUAUGUUGUUCAACCUUUACUCUACCCACUACAGUUUUAAUGUGUCCUCAACAUUCAUUUAGGCCUCUUUCCUGUCUCACCAUUUCAAAUGAUGACAGAAACUCAGCGUAUAUUGGAUAUUUAAAAAAUUGUGUACAGUAGCACUAGAGCUUGAUUUUACCCAGAUUAGUAUGUCAUAAUAUAAUUUAUCGGGCUUCUUCUUGGGCUAUGUACGGUUGCUCUGGUUAACCAGAAGUCUAAAAGUGAAGUAUAACCUAAUGGAACUACAACAAAUGAACUUUGGUAAAUACCUUGCCACUACAUUUUUCUAUUAGUGUGUUUAUUAUAGUAGGGCCGUCUUUUCCAGCUGGUUUUUUAAUUCAUGCACCAAGCUAAUCACUAUUUGUUUCAUUGGAACUUGCAGGUUCUACAUUUUCCCGCAAAGUGAUCCCACACGACAUAAUUGCCAAGCUAGGCCUCACUAUUUAUUCAGAAGGAUUACAUGAUAUGCCUAUUUAAUCACCGUAAUAGAUUUUUCCUAUGAAAAUUUGUGUCCCCAUCCAUGAAAGACAGAGGAGAUUUCUGCUUUACAGUAGGUUGACAGUAUAGUUGACAAGCUGACAAACAUUUGAUGUCCUGGAAGUUGCAGACUAGAGAUGAUUCCUUUUUAUGCUUGUUUUUGUCUACUUGUACUGGAGAUAGAGAAUUGGGCCAUAGUAUCUUUCCUGUGAAAUGAAAUGCUUAUGCCAUGAAAAAUUAAACUCAAAAUCAUUUGAUGUUUGUUGGUUAACAUGCAUUUGAUUCCUUCUUCCUUUUUCAUCUAAUCCCACCAUACCACCUUUUCUUCUUCUUAGGGUUCUCUUGAAUCCGUUUCAAUUGGUGAAAUAAAACUAAGUUUCCACAUGAGUGUUGUUUGCUUGUUUUUAAUUUCUGUACUUCUAGGCAGUACGAAUUUUAAGUUUAAAAUUUUCUCGUGAAACUAAAAAUUGGUAAAUUUUGGAUCCAUUCUCGUGCGUUCGAUUGGUUUUUGAUGGCUGUUAUUGAAACAUCGGUUAAUUGGUUCUAUGCCACUCCUCAAUUCACAAGUUGUGUUUAUGCCAUUACAAAAAUUGAAGUUGUGUUUAUGCCACUCUCAAUUCUCACAAAACAAUUUGGUGGUUAGCUUCCAUAUUUUUUCCCAAAUAAUCAAUUUAACAUCUUUCAUCUGAUUAUACUAUCUUUUCUGCUUUCUUGGUGUGUGUAUUGUUAGAAAUAAUAACUUGCUUACAUACUUGCACUAACUUUGGACAUGAUUAUACUAUCGCAUAACUUGUUGACUCUAGAGCUUUCUCUGUAAAUUAGUUACGUAUUUGACUGGCCUAACAAUUCUUGGAUAUUCUUUGGACAUGGGAAGGAGUAUAUUAAUUUGGCCGAUGAGCAUUUAUAGAAGUUGAUAUACAGUGGCCAGCUUGAUCAGAAGGAACUGGACAGUAUGCAAAAAAAAUCAUUCCUGCUGUCAGAGCUUGCACGAAAGCGAGGCCACAAAUGCAGUUCUUCUGUAAGACUCAUUGCGAGUGAUGCAAGCACACAUGGAGGCUCCUCUGUGCCUUGCCGUGCUGCGGAGAAGAUAUCCCUGCCCUGGACAAUGGCAUGCUACUUUCUCUGUUUAUGUACUCCACGCGGGAUUAAAGUGCAGAGGAUGAUUUCCCUUGAAUAACAGACGACACGAUGCAGUACUAUGUAGAAAUUAUGCUUAUUGUUGCAGAUAAAUUAUUUCCUAUCCUCUUUGUAGUAAAAAUGAAGCAGAGCAAGGGAAUCAUAAGGGAGGCAAUGGGGAUGGGAAGGUUUGAUGGAUAAUCACCAUUUCUUAACCAUAUUUGGACCUUCCAAGAAAAUUAUGGAGUGACAAGCCACGUGGAAGACACGGAGACGUCGAGGAGAUACCCUCCCUGGAGUAACAAGUUGUACUGUUGCAUCCUCUGGCUCGGAGGAGGUGUUCCGAUGCCCUGUGGCAUACUUCACCGAGAGGGCAAGCCAUCAACAUGAGUUUCAGGAAGAAACGGUGCAAGUGAGCUUUAAUAAUUGCGAGAAGACGGAGCCGGUACGGACGACCACGGUGGUGGGCGACAGUAGGCGUUGAUGAGCUCGUCCCGGAAGAGACCAGUGAGUUGCUGCUUCUAAAGAUAUGGGGAAAAGCAGCAGAUGAGAGCUUUGAGAUACUUGAUAGGUUCUGUUCUUCCUUUACCUGAAUAUACACCGCUCUAUCUAGGAUCUGGAUGGCACACCAGAAAACUAAGUUGUAGAUCAAAUGAGAUUAUCAUAUGAACUUGCUCUAUAUUCCAAGGUGGUGGUGUCUUGAUUUCGCCUUCUCAUGGCCUCUGCCAUUGCGUUGGUAAGUCACUCUGGGAAGCUCUCUCUCUACAUCACAUGCGAUAUUUAGUUUGUCACGAAGCCCACUCCUGCAUUUGUGUUGCACUUCUAAUCAGUAUACCAAACUGCAGUCUUUUGACGUAUUUCUUGCCUCCAUAAUUUAGUGAUGAACUAAUUGCCUUAUGUAUGUUGAUCCCUCCCCUAAGGAACAAAUCUUGCAUGCAGCACCUCUUUGUGUCUACUUGCAAAAUGUAAUUUUUUUUCUCUGAGGAAAAUCAGUGUUGAAUGCUUUAAUUUUUCUAGGCUGAUUCAGCAUGAGCAUUCAUGAAGAACUAUUACUUGCCUGAUUGUGUUCUUAACGCUGGAAAAUUAGAGGCCAAAGCAACCAAGAGAUGAUGUACCAUUUCUUGUUCAGAAAAUGUGAGAGAUGCGAGCAAAGAUAGAAAAAGAAUGAGGCACACAUUCUUGUUCCAUUUAACUUGAAUCCGUGUUGUAAUCUGAAUUCAUGAUGUAUACAAAGCUACCUAAAUCGAAAUAGUCAAUUGCAGCCAACAUCCAUGGCAGCCAUAUGCAGCCAUGGUAGAUAAUUCCGCUAAUCCUAGAAAAAAUGUUUAUAUUGAGAAACGAGCAUGGUAGAUAAUUCCGCUAAUCCUAGAAAAAAAUGUUUAUGAGGUUAUACUACUGUUAAUCCAACAUCCAUGGCAGCCAUAUGCAGCCAUGGGAUUAGGUGGCCUACAAGCACCCUCUGUAUUUUUACCUCGACCAUGUCUCUGUUUCGCUGAAAGAGUGUUAAUGUUGUGGCAUCUUGCCAAAGUGUACUAAUUACUCAGUUGAUUUUGUUUUCCUCUUUGUAGGCCGCGCCACAAAAGAUUCGCUUUGAGGCACAAAGUUAUUUGCUAGCUUCGGUUUUAGUCUGUAGUUAUAUAUGCAAACUAAUGAUCAUUCAUAUGAAAUUUGUGUGGCGGGAACAUAUGAGAGGCUGCUGACACAAGGAUCAACUUGGUCCAUAUUUUAUUUAAAUGCAUUUGAUAUACUUGGCAUGCUAAUAACAAAAACUUUUUUCCUGUUGGAUUGAAAGCCCAGUUGGUAAAUAAGCUUCUGAGCAUUUUUUAUUGAUCUUGGUAUUUCUCUACUCUCAUUGGCUUACUGGAACUGAAUUGUGUGGGGGCAUUGUUCAUGCCUUGUGAAGUCUUCAGGUUCAUCAUAAAUCUGCAGGACAACUUCAAUGCUUUUGAUAAGCCAUUAACCUUCUCCUGUAUUUUCCACACUACGUAGUAAUCCAUGUCUUGGGAAAAUAUUUCAGGUGUUGCUUGAGGUAAGUAGAAUUUUUCUACUAAAGAAUUAUGGUAUCCUAUAUAGUAGGUAAACUUAUGGUAACUUUAGUAUGAUGGUUACAAUACUGGCUUGCUUUUGCCUUUGCGCUGGGGCGCUGCAUUCUAUUUUUGUGAAACAAUUACCAGAAGAAGAUUUAUCCCUAUAAAAUAAAGUAUGUUAUUACGACGGGUUCUGUGACUAUUUGAGUUAGUUUUACAUUGAAAGUUAUUUACCUUGGUGCAAAAUUUCGCAGCUGAUUUUUUUAUUCGAUGAGAAGUGACCAGUAGCAGAGGGACAUUUCUAAUGCCCGCUGCCAUUUGAUGAAACACAGCUAUAAAAUCUCUUUUCGCUAUUCCAAAGUUCAUCUUCAGGUACAUUAGAACUGCCUCAAUGGUGCUAAUAUCUGUUUAGUGGAAGUCUGUAGCAUUUUAUUUUGUUGACAUCCACUCAGAUAAGCAUACAUAAUCUAUUCAAAAGGAUACUGCUAUGUCCUAUGCAAUGGCCUAUUAUUUAGUGACCUGAAAAUUUUCAUGUUGCACAAGUGAAGUUAAAUGGAGGGGUAUGCUUAAGUAAAUAUUUUCAUCAGAGUUUACGUUGGUUUGUUUGUACCUAAGAUUUCGUGAAGUUGAGCAUGAAUGUGGCUGUAUUUGAGGCCUUGAAGGCCAUCGGGAUGUAGAUGCAGGAUAUUACAACAUCCUGGACAAAUCUCUCUUUGGGUAACAGUUCGUUGCAGCGUAUGAAGUGUACACGCAGAUAUCGCUGCAGGUCAACAAUAAGGAAGCGAAGGGUGGAUGAGGGACAGGGAGAAUGGAGACUGUUGCGACUCUGAGGAGAGGAUGUCGACGCCGUGAUGUGGCAGGCGAGGAUACCGCACGUGUUCUACAAGACGCUCAUUUUCUUCCAUGCCCUCGACACGGGUGCAUGAUUCCUCUUCCGGUGGCGACGCGGCCAAUAGCGACGGCCUUGACUUCCGCCUUCGUGGCUUCUUCACUACCACUUGCGCCAGCCAGGGUGGCCGUCGUUUAUGAGGAAGGCUGAUUGACAAGGGUGAGGUGGCGCGGCGGAGGUUCCUUGAAAGACGGUGAUGAUCUAGAGCAUCUAUCGGAGCUAUUUUUGCAUGUUAUUUCCAAAAGAGUCCAGUGAGGAAUGGACUAUUUUUGCUAUUAUAUAUUUGCCUUGUGCUGUGAAUGAGGAAAUGGAGUUAUUAGUCCAAGUAUCAUUUUUCAUCAGGUGUUCAUGGACAAUUGUUCACGCUCUUCUCAGAUUAUGGUCGUAUGAGCUCACACGGUUUCAGUUAUAGUGUCAUCAGACCGUGGCAGUAGGUAGUGUCAUGUUAAUGUGAGACUUUGAGAUAGAUCUAGGGAACUAAAUAAAUGUAGACUUUCACAGGAGAUGAAUAAAUUGUGGUUAGUGUAUAAGUGACAUAAUUUCGGCUAGAGAAAAAAGGGAACCUUCUUAUAUAUAUAAUACGCGUAACGAAUUAUUUUCCCCGCGAUGAUUCAAAAUUGAGCUAUGCAUCUUUCCAGUCCUUCUCACUGUUAUUCGUGCAUUCUAGAUGUAUUACUUCAGUAUUCAGGGUGAGGUUACUACUAACUAACCAAAGAAAGAGAGAUGGUUCUGUUCUAUUCAAGUUUUUUCUGCAUUCUAUUUUUGUGAAACAAUUACCGGAAGAAGAUUUAUCCCUAUAAAAUAAAGUAUGUUAUUACGACAGGUUUUGUGACUAUUUGAGUUAGUUUUACAUUGAAAGUUAUUUACCUUGGUGCAAAAUUUCGCAGCGGAUUUUUUUAUUCGAUGAAAAGUGACCAGUAGCAGAGGGACAUUUCUAAUGCCCACUGCCAUUUGAUGAAACACAGGUACUGGGUGUUCUGUUCACCCUUUGUUUCUCCAUAUAUUGUUUUAGCAUUUGCAUUUGAAUUGUUUUAGCAUCUAUUUGAGAUGAAAUAUCUUAGUUUUGUAUUUCAUAUUUCUUUGUCUAUAGAAUUACAUAUUAUAGUGGUUAGAACAUGACUUCUGUAUUUAGAUAUACAUGUUACUGUCAGUUUAUGCUGGGCUAAAGGGACACCUUCUCAAACCAUCCUCGUAAGUUGAUGGAUAUAGUUGUUUGUUUGCCUGCUUGAAGAUUUGCUUACCCCUUUCGGCAUGUUUGAUACAGAUGGUUACCAUCCAGGAUCGUCGGCAGACGUCGAGUAUAGAAGUGUUAUUUGGACUCACCAAAAAAGAUCUAUUCCUUCAACUAUUAUUGUAUGUAGCUCCAGCCUUUUGUUAACCGGUGAUGGAUCCAGAGGCAGAAGAGUUUGGGCCAUUCACAGUGAUGGAACGCUACAACACAGGUGUUAAUCUGGAAGUGGAUGAUUAGCGAAUUCCUGUAGAAUCAUUCCAGAAGGGUUUCAAUGUUUCAUUAUAAAUUUGAGAACAUUUUUAGAGAAUGCACACAUAAGUACCAUCAUUUGAGUUCUAUAAUGUACCUAUGGUAGUAGUAUCCUUAAGUAAUGUUUUGUACCCAUGAUAUUGCUGGUCUACUUUAUUUAUGUAUAAAUUAGUUCGUACUUGCUGCCACAACUAUUCACUGAGUAAGAAAAAUGGUUGAAUGUAUAUGUAUAAAAUCGACAUCUGUUUUGUUACUUUG